rnacentral:misc_RNA from 1 species
GAAGAAGAAAAAGAAGAAGAAGAACCAGAUCUUGCUUGAGGGCUUUGUGGAGGCUUUAGAUGAGGAUAAUUUGACGAGGACAAAGAGCUUGACGGACGACGAUCUUGAGGAGCUCAAAGGAUGUGUGGAUCUAGGGUUUGCGUUUUGCUAUGAUGAGAUUCCUGAGCUCUGUAACACCUUGCCGGCACUCGAGCUUUGUUAUUUGAUGAGCCAGAAAUUUAUGGAUGAGCACCAUAAGGUUCCCGAAAAUUCUCCGCCCGAGUCGAUGGAUUCUGUUUCCAGUCCGAUUCCGAGU